CAUUGGUUAAUUGUUGAACUUUUUUUGUUUAUUUUUAAAAAUUAGUAAGUUGCAGAUGGCGCCUCUAAGGUGGUCGAUGACGCCGAUUUGGAGGUUGGCUCCGAUUGAUAAUGUGAAGUAGAAGAAGAAGCAGCAACACACUCAUUCUUCCCCUUUCUCUUUCAAGUUCAUGGCAUGUUUCUCAUUUUUAAUAACCAAUUUUCUGCUCAAUUCCCACUGUUUGGUUUCAGUUAAUCUCUCCUUUUAAUUUAACUAUAUUAUUUCAAGCAUACGUGUGACGGUUUAUUUACUGUCAAAUUUUCCGUAGCUCGAAGAAACCACUCCAACCUCCCCGAGAUUUAUUUGAUAAUGUCAUGUUUGGCUUUUUGCUGGAAAGGCUGUGUGCAUUGGCCAUGUAAAUUGAUUUUUAUCAUCUACAGAUGCAUGCUUUACACAUCAUAAACUCUUAAUGAGUAAUUGUUUUGUAUUUAUUAUUACUUUGGCAGUGGCUUAAUCUCAAAUAAAUCUAAUGAUAUUCUUACUCUUUCAAAAAAAAAGGGAUGGCUAGAGUGUGCUGGUUUGGAAAGCUUACUGCUUCCUAUCAUGUGCUUCUCUUUGCUGGUGAGUGGUGAUGGUGUCAAAAUAGAUGAGGAGAUGUCAAAUUUGCUUCCUUCUCAGAAAAGGAAAAUUAGACAAAAACAAAGAAAGGCAGAAGCAAGAGCUAAGAAAGGGGCAGAGGAAAAGAAUGAAGAGUUAAGUGUCAGUGAGGUAUUCAAGUCUAGGAAACGGCAUGUAAAACCUAUGAAUCCUGAUCCACAUGGGGAGAAGUUAUUGCAGGUGAUGUGGAGAUGGGCUAAACAAUAAGAAUUGAUACAUACUCUAGUGGGGAUGCUGACAGAGCUUUAGAUUGCCUGUGGCAGAGGAAGAAGGCUGAGAUUAAGCUGCAAUAUAUCUUGCUUUCAAGGUCUAUUUUUGUUAGAGAUAUUUGAGUAUUAAAAUCAACAUAAAGUUGAAACAUUUGUUUGCAGAGAGGAUCAGCCGAGAAAGAACUUUUGCAACAAAGUGAAGGAACCACAUUCCAUGAAAAGUUUCAGGCAUCCCUUCCCUCUAUUGAGGGUUCCGCUCCAUUGUUGAUUAUGGGGACCCCUACUUCAGUGUUGAAGGGUGAAUCUUCAUCUCCGAUUAUAGAGGAGUUUUCCCUGAGGAAUAGCUUGGAUCAACUAGACAUCAUUUUGCUAAUUUAUUAUCAAUUUUGUAUAUCAUUCAUUGCGACACUGUGUAGAACCUCAAAUCCUUUUCAUAAUGGAGUUGUUCUUAUUUGAUGGUUUAUUCAAUAGAAUACCAUUGCAUGAUUUAAUCUAUACAGGUGUAUGCUC